UAAGGAAUAUUGGUCAAUGGGCGCAUGCCUGAACCAGCCAUGCCGCGUGCAGGAAGACGGCCCUACGGGUUGUAAACUGCUUUUGUCAGGGAAUAAACCCCCGCUCGUGAGCGGGGCUGAAGGUACCUGAAGAAUAAGCAUCGGCUAACUCCGUGCCAGCAGCCGCGGUAAUACGGAGGAUGCAAGCGUUAUCCGGAUUCAUUGGGUUUAAAGGGUGCGCAGGCGGAUUGGUAAGUCAGGGGUGAAGUCCCACAGCUCAACUGUGGAACUGCCUUUGAUACUGUCAGUCUAGAGUAUAGUUGAAGUGGGCGGAAUGUGUCAUGUAGCGGUGAAAUGCUUAGAUAUGACACAGAACACCGAUCGCGAAGGCAGCUCGCUAAGCUAUAACUGACGCUCAUGCACGAAAGCGUGGGGAUCAAACAG
rnacentral:rRNA from 1 species